AGUAAUGCUUGGGAAUCUAGCUUAUGGAGGGGGAUAACUACGGGAAACUGUAGCUAAUACCGCGUAGAAUCGAGAGAUGAAAGUGUGGGACCUUCGGGCCACAUGCCAUAGGAUGAGCCCAAGUGGGAUUAGGUAGUUGGUGAGGUAAAGGCUCACCAAGCCGACGAUCUCUAGCUGGUCUGAGAGGAUGACCAGCCACACUGGGACUGAGGCACGGCCCAG
rnacentral:rRNA from 1 species